rnacentral:rRNA from 1 species
GACGAACGCUGGCGGCGUGCUUAACACAUGCAAGUCGAACGGAAAGGCCCUGCUUUUGUGGGGUGCUCGAGUGGCGAACGGGUGAGUAACACGUGAGUAACCUGCCCUUGACUUUGGGAUAACUUCAGGAAACUGGGGCUAAUACCGGAUAGGAGCUCCUGCUGCAUGGUGGGGGUUGGAAAGUUUCGGCGGUUGGGGAUGGACUCGCGGCUUAUCAGCUUGUUGGUGGGGUAGUGGCUUACCAAGGCUUUGACGGGUAGCCGGCCUGAGAGGGUGACCAGCCACAUUGGGACUGAGAUACGGCCCAGACUCCUACGGGAGGCAGCAGUGGGGAAUAUUGCACAAUGGGCGGAAGCCUGAUGCAGCAACGCCGCGUGCGGCAUGACGGCCUUCGGGUUGUAAACCGCUUUCGCCUGUGACGAAGCGUGAGUGACGGUAAUGGGUAAAGAAGCACCGGCUAACUACGUG